GACGAACGCUGGCGGCGUGCUUAACACAUGCAAGUCGAACGGAAAGGCCCUGCUUUUGUGGGUUGCUCGAGUGGCGAACAGGGGAGUAACACGUGAGUAACCCGCCCUUGACUUUGGGGUAACUUCAGGAGACUGGGGCUAAUACCCGAUAGGAGCUCCUGCUGCAUGGUGGGGGUUGGAAAAUUUCGGCGGUUGGGGUUGGACUCGGGGCUUAUCAGCUUGUAGGUGGGGUAGUGGCAUACGACGGCUGUGAGGGGUAGCCGGCCUGAGCGGGGGACCGGGCACAUGGGGACUACGGGAAGGCGCAGAAGCGUACGGGAGGCAGUAGUGGGGAAUCUUACACAGUGGGCGGGAGUCUGCGGCAGCAACGCCGCGUGCGGGAUGACGGCUUUCGGGGUGUAAACCGCUUUCGCCUGUGACGAAGCGAGAGUGACGGUAACGGGUGAAGAAGCACCGGCUAACUACGUG
rnacentral:rRNA from 1 species